AGCGAACGCUGGCGGCAGGCCUAACACAUGCAAGUCGAACGAACUCUUCGGAGUUAGUGGCGGACGGGUGAGUAACACGUGGGAACGUGCCUUUAGGUUCGGAAUAACUCAGGGAAACUUGUGCUAAUACCGAAUGUGCCCUUCGGGGGAAAGAUUUAUCGCCUUUAGAGCGGCCCGCGUCUGAUUAGCUAGUUGGUGAGGUAAAGGCUCACCAAGGCGACGAUCAGUAGCUGGUCUGAGAGGAUGGUCAGCCACAUUGGGACUGAGACACGGCCCAAACUCCUACGGGAGGCAGCAGUGGGGAAUCUUGCGCAAUGGGCGAAAGCCUGACGCAGCCAUGCCGCGUGAAUGAUGAAGGUCUUAGGAUUGUAAGAUUCUUUCACCGGGGACGAUAAUGACGGUACCCGGAGAAGAAGCCCCGGCUAACUUCGUGCCAGCAGCCGCCGUAA
rnacentral:rRNA from 1 species